rnacentral:rRNA from 1 species
AUACGGAGGGUGCGAGCGUUAAUCGGAAUUACUGGGCGUAAAGCGUGCGUAGGCGGUUUGUUAAGUCAGAAGUGAAAGCCCUGGGCUCAACCUGGGAACGGCUUUUGAGACUGGCAGACUCGAGUUGAGUAGAGGGGAGUGGAAUUUCCGGUGUAGCGGUGAAAUGCGUAGAGAUCAGAAGGAACACCAGUGGCGAAGGCGACUCCCUGGACUCAAACUGACGCUGAGGUACGAAAGCGUGGGGAGCAAACAGGAUUAGAAACCCUAGUAGUCC